rnacentral:rRNA from 1 species
UGGCUCAGAUUGAACGCUGGCGGCAUGUCUUUACACAUGCAAGUCGAACGGGCUUGGGGGCUUGCUCCCAAGUUAGUGGCGAACGGGUGAGUAAUACAUCGGAACGUACCGUGUAGUGGGGGAUAACGUAGCGAAAGUUACGCUAAUACCGCAUACGAUCUACGGAUGAAAGCAGGGGACCUUCGGGCCUUGUGCUAUACGAGCGGCCGAUGUCUGAUUAGCUAGUUGGUGAGGUAAAGGCUCACCAAGGCGACGAUCAGUAGCGGGUCUGAGAGGAUGAUCCGCCACACUGGGACUGAGACACGGCCCAGACUCCUACGGGAGGCAGCAGUGGGGAAUUUUGGACAAUGGGCGAAAGCCUGAUCCAGCCAUGCCGCGUGUCUGAAGAAGGCCUUCGGGUUGUAAAGGA